rnacentral:rRNA from 1 species
GACGAACGCUGGCGGCGUGCUUAACACAUGCAAGUCGAACGGAAAGGCCCUGCUUUUGUGGGGUGCUCGAGUGGCGAACGGGUGAGUAACACGUGAGUAACCUGCCCUUGACUUUGGGAUAACUUCAGGAAACUGGGGCUAAUACCGGAUAGGAGCUCCUGCUGCAUGGUGGGGGUUGGAAAGUUUCGGCGGUUGGGGAUGGACUCGCGGCUUAUCAGCUUGUUGGUGGGGUAGUGGCUUACCAAGGCUUUGACGGGUAGCCGGCCUGAGAGGGUGACCGGGACAAGGGGGAGGGGACGACGAACAGGACUCGGGGGGGGGGCAGGGGGGGGGAGGAGGGAGGAGUGGGGGGACGCUGGAGGAGGCGCGGCGGCGGGGGGGGGGGGGGCUGUGGGUUGCUAAACCGCUGGGGCCGGAGAGGAAGCGGGGGUGAGGGGGAGGGAAAAAGAAGCACCGGCUAAUGACGUGAGAGCAGCCGGGGUAAUAGAAGAGCAACGGUCGAAAC